CACGUAGGGCGCAAGCGUUGUCCGGAAUUAUUGGGCGUAAAGAGCUCGUAGGCGGUCUGUUGCGUCUGCUGUGAAAACCCGGGGCUUAACCCCUGGCUUGCAGUGGAUACGGACAGACUAGAGGUAGGUAGGGGAGAAUGGAAUUCCCGGUGUAGCGGUGAAAUGCGCAGAUAUCGGGAGGAACACCAGCGGCGAAGGCGGCACUCUGGGCUGGUACUGACGCUGAGGAGCGAAAGCGUGGGUAGCAAACAGG
rnacentral:rRNA from 1 species